UCUCCGUUGGUGAACCAGCGGAGGGAUCAUUACAGGAUCGAAAGACUCCUAUAACCCAUGUGAACUUACUACAAAUACGUUGCUUCGGCGGGUGCCCCGGGUCUCCCGGGGCGUUCAGCCCGCCGGCAGCCUUCAAAUUCUGUUUCUUUGCGUUGGCAUCUCGAGUAUACAAAAAUAAGUUAAAACUUUCAACAACGGAACUCUUGGUUCUG
rnacentral:misc_RNA from 1 species